GACACCAGUGUGGUUCCAUCCACUGGAAGCCUAGUCUUAAAGGUAGAGUUGGAAGGUCAUCCAUCUAACUGAUGGAGCACAUCCCGAGCAUUGCUUCUCACAUCUCCCAAGAUCCUUUCGAAGGGCCGUGGAGCUCAGGCUUGGUGAAUGCAGAAAAGUCUCUCACAGGGAGAUUUUGAAAGUC
rnacentral:lncRNA from 1 species